AGGAAUAAGAUGAAAGGACACCU
rnacentral:siRNA from 1 species